rnacentral:lncRNA from 1 species
GUCAAAUAGACUAUGUUAAUUAUGGUGUCCAAAAAUAGUGAGACCCAUGCUGUUCAAAGAAUAUAACUUUCAAUUUUAUUUCUACACUAUUUAAUCCCUUCGUUCCAUCAUUAAUAAAACGAGUCUCCUCACUACUGUUUUGAUCAAUUCAAAGAAUGUCAUGGACUCACCUCAAAUAAUGCUGAGACAACCGUAAAAAAAUUUCAUCUUAAAUUAGUGAUCAACAUUGAGAAAAA